UCCCUGGCAGACCAGCGGUUAGGACUUGGCACUUUCACUGACAUGCACCAGGGUUCGAUCCUGGGUCGGUCAGAAAAUCA
rnacentral:tRNA from 1 species